GACGUAGGGUGCGAGCGUUGUCCGGAUUUAUUGGGCGUAAAGAGCUCGUAGGCGGCUCGUCGCGUCGGCCGUGAAAACCCGCAGCUUAACUGCGGGCGUGCGGUUGAUACGGGCGGGCUAGAGUUCGGUAGGGGAGACUGGAAUUCCUGGUGUAGCGGUGAAAUGCGCAGAUAUCAGGAAGAACACCCGUGGCGAAGGCGGCUCUCUGGGACGGUACUGACGCUGAGACGCGAAAGCGUGGGGAGCGAACAGG
rnacentral:rRNA from 1 species